CGGGCUUGUAGCUCAGUGGAUUAGAGCACGUGGCUACGAACCACGGUGUCGGGGGUUCGAGUCCCUCCUUGCCCGA
rnacentral:tRNA from 1 species